AUGGUUCUUUUUCUUUCUUUUCUUUUUGCGCCGUUAUUUGCGAUGCUUUUCUUUUUGCGCCGUUAUUUGCGAUGCUUUUCUUUUUAGAGAGCUCUUGUAACAUCUUCUUCUGAUCGAUGAAUUUAACAGUUAUACUGCUGACAUUAAAAAAACUGUGAGGGACUGAUCAUACAUAUUGGCAUAAUGCCGAUGAUGACAAAGAAUCCGGAUCGAGCUGCACGCACGCAUAUAUGCCCAAAUGAAGCAGAGUGGCCCGGGGCGUGCAAGCACAUGCACUGAUGGACGGACAGUAUUCUGAGUUGAAUUAUUCCAUCCAUGUGUUGUUAUUGACGUCUGUAUGCAUGCAUGUGCUGGAAUGUGUCAGUGGCGUAUCAUGCAUCGGACAGUCGUACCUAUGGCCGCUUGUGACCUUUUCGUAUUCAUUCAUCACCCCUCCAUCAAUCCAGUACUAAUGACAAAGCACUGGCAACAUUGGUGUCUAUCUUGUCUCUGUAUGUAUCUACUCACUUCCAUUUAUACAAUAAUAAUAUUACCACGGAUUUAGACAUCUACUAAUCUACAUACUGAACACUUCAAAUAAUAUCAGAAAUUUGCAGGCCCGUAAGUGCGGGGA
rnacentral:lncRNA from 1 species